rnacentral:rRNA from 1 species
UGGACACACUAAACUUAACCUUUAUUUGCCUUAGUAAUAUAAAUUAGCUUUUAGGUGAAGAUACCUAAAUUUAGUAGAAAGACAAGAAGACCCUAUUGAGUUUUACCUUAAAAUAAAAUAAAAGGUUUUGUUGGGGCGACCAGGGAAUUGAUCCGACUUCCCUUAAAUAAAAGGAAACCAUGAAAUUGAUCCUUAAAGAAUUCAGAAUAAACUACCAUAGGGAUAACAGGCUAAUUUUUUCAGCGAGUUCAUAUUAAUGAAAAAGUUUGGCACCUCGAUGUUGGCUUGAAGAAUCUUUUAGGUGCAGCCGCCUA